rnacentral:rRNA from 1 species
UACGGAGGAGGCAAGCGUUAUCCGGAAUUAUUGGGCGUAAAGCGUCCGUAGGUGGUUUAGUAAGUCUGCUGUUAAAGCGCGGGGCUUAACUCCGUAUCGGCAGUGGAAACUACUAGACUAGAGUGUGGUAGGGGUAGAGGGAAUUCCCAGUGUAGCGGUGAAAUGCGUAGAUAUUGGGAAGAACACCGGUGGCGAAGGCGGCGACCUGGUCCAUUACUGACGCUGAGGCGCGACAGCGUGGGGAGCAAACAGG